rnacentral:rRNA from 1 species
GAUCCUGGCUCAGAUUGAACGCUGGCGGCAGGCCUAACACAUGCAAGUCGAACGGUAACAGGAAGCAGCUUGCUGCUUUGCUGACGAGUGGCGGGCGGGUGAGUAAUGUCUGGGAAACUGCCCGAUGGAGGGGGAUAACUACUGGAAACGGUAGCUAAUACCGCAUAACGUCGCAAGACCAAAGAGGGGGGACCUUCGGGCCUCUUGCCAUCGGAUGUGCCCAGAUGGGAUUAGCUAGUAGG